rnacentral:lncRNA from 1 species
AAGAGAAUAGAUUAUAUUUACAAAUUUUGUUGUUUGAAUUGAUGAACCCAUUGCCUACGUACCAUCACAGAGGAGGAUCAAAACCUCGUAGUUCGGGGUAAAAAAUCACAAAGAUUGGUGAAUUGAUUUGAUCAAAAGCCUUAAGGUCUUUUGUUAUCAAAGGGAGAAAACUCAACCUAAACCAACAAUCCACCAUGGGAGGAAGGCUUCAAC